rnacentral:rRNA from 1 species
UACCAGCACCCCGAGUGGUCGGGACGAUUAUUGGGCCUAAAGCAUCCGUAGCCGGUCCUGCAAGUCUUCCGUUAAAUCCAGCUGCUUAACAGAUGGGCUGCGGAGGAUACUACAGGGCUAGGAGGCGGGAGAGGCAAGCGGUACUUUAUGGGUAGGGGUAAAAUCCGUUGAUCCAUUGAAGACCACCAGUGGCGAAGGCGGCUCACUGGUCCAUUACUGACGCUGAGGUGCGAAAGCGUGGGGAGCAAACAGG